CUACUACCGAUUGAAUGGCUCAGUGAGGCUUCCGGACCUACGUGUGGGAGUUGGCAACGACACCCUAACGCGGGAAAGUUAUCCAAACUCGGUCAUUUAGAGGAAGUAAAAGUCGUAACAAGGUCUCCGUUGGUGAACCAGCGGAGGGAUCAUUAUAGAGAUUUUUCUCGCCCAACCCUUGUGUACCUUACCUAGUUGCCUCGGCGGCGACGGGGAGGGGCCGUAAGAACGCCCCCCCCGGCCCGCCGGUGGACACCGAAACUCUUGUUCAAACAUGUAUUCUGAAAUAAAAAGCAAAUAAGUUAAAACUUUCAACAACGGAUCUCUUGGUUCUGGCAUCGAUGAAGAACGCAGCGAAAUGCGAUACGUAAUGUGAAUUGCAGAAUUUAGUGAAUCAUCGAAUCUUUGAACGCACAUUGCGCUCCCUAGUAUUCUGGGGAGCAUGCCUGUUCGAGCGUCAUUUCGACCCUCAAGUCUUAGCUACUUGGUGUUGGGGCGCGCCCUGGCGCGCCCUUAAAAAGCAUUGGCAGAGCUGGUUAGCAGUCUGAGCGUAGUAAACCACCUCGCUUCUGAAGGCUUUCCGGCCCCUUCGCCGUAAAACUCAUUAUUACCAAAGUUUGACCUCGGAUCAGGUAGGAAUACCCGCUGAACUUAAGCAUAUCAAUAAGCGGAGGAAAAGAAACCAACAGGGAUUGCCCUAGUAACGGCGAGUGAAGCGGCAACAGCUCAAAUUUGAAAUCUGGCUCUCGGGCCCGAGUUGUAAUUUGCAGAGGAUGCUUCUGGCGCGGUGCCUUCCGAGUUCCCUGGAACGGGACGCCUUAGAGGGUGAGAGCCCCGUACGGUCGGACACCUAGCCUCUGUGAAGCUCCUUCGACGAGUCGAGUAGUUUGGGAAUGCUGCUCUAAAUGGGAGGUAAAUUUCUUCUAAAGCUAAAUACCGGCCAGAGACCGAUAGCGCACAAGUAGAGUGAUCGAAAGAUGAAAAGCACUUUGAAAAGAGGGUUAAACAGCACGUGAAAUUGUUGAAAGGGAAGCGUUUGCGACCAGACUUUCUCCUGGCGGAUCAUCCGGCGUUCUCGCCGGUGCACUUCGCCAGGUCAAGGCCAGCAUCGGUUUCCGGAGGGGGACAAAAGCUUUGGGAACGUGGCUCCCUCGGGAGUGUUAUAGCCCUUUGCACAAUGCCCCUCUGGGGACCGAGGUUCGCGCAUCUGCAAGGAUGCUGGCGUAAUGGUCGUCAACGACCCGUCUUGAAACACGGACCAAGGAGUCGAACAUUUGUGCGAGUGUUAGGGUGUCAAACCCCUGCGCGUAAUGAAAGUGAACGGAGGUGAGAGCCCUUACGGGUGCAUCAUCGACCGAUCCUGAUGUUUUCGGAUGGAUUUGAGUAAGAGCAUAACUGUUCGGACCCGAAAGAUGGUGAACUAUGCGUGGAUAGGGUGAAGCCAGAGGAAACUCUGGUGGAGGCUCGCAGCGGUUCUGACGUGCAAAUCGAUCGUCAAAUCUGCGCAUGGGGGCGAAAGACUUAUCGAAC
rnacentral:rRNA from 1 species